GGACCUGGCCAAGUGUUAGCUAUCAAUUUUCUAAGAGGCUAAGUUAUUUUUCUGUUUUACUCUUAACAAAAUAUUUAUAGCAUUACAUGUUUUAUUUGGUUUCUGAAGGACUAAAAGUACAAAACAACAGUUUCCAGUUGUUAAAGUUACUGGGUCUUCAAAUUUAUGCAUUUAGAUGCUUGCAAAAUGGUGAUCCCGAUACUUACUGCACCAACCAGCAUCAAAAUUUCUGUUGGGGUCUGUGCCAAUGCAGACGUGAAGUUUAUGAAUCUCUAACAAAUGGAUUUGCAAACAA